rnacentral:rRNA from 1 species
GUGCACCAGUCGAGAAAACUUUACAAUGCGGGAAACCGUGAUAAGGGAAUCUCGAGUGCCAGCAUAUAAUGUUGGCUGUCCAGAUGCCUAAAAAGCAUCUGUUAGCAAGGGCCGGGCAAGACCGGUGCCAGCCGCCGCGGUAACACCGGCGGCCCGAGUGGUAACCGUUUUUAUUGGGUCUAAAGGGUCUGUAGCCGGCCAUGUAAGUCCCUUGGGAAAUCUGGCAGCUCAACUGUCAGGCUGCUAGGGGAUACUGCUUGGCUUGGGACCGGGAGAGGUGAGAGGUACCUUGAGGGUAGGGGUGAAAUCUUGUGAUCCUCGGGGGACCACCAGUGGCGAAGGCGUCUCACCAGAACGGGUCCGACGGUAAGGGACGAAAGCUAGGGGCACGAACCGGAUUAGAUACCCCCGUAGUCC